UACGUAGGUCCCGAGCGUUGUCCGGAUUUAUUGGGCGUAAAGCGAGCGCAGGUGGUUUAUUAAGUCUGGUGUAAAAGGCAGUGGCUCAACCAUUGUAUGCAUUGGAAACUGGUAGACUUGAGUGCAGGAGAGGAGAGUGGAGUUCCAUGUGUAGCGGUGAAAUGCGUAGAUAUAUGGAGGAACACCGGUGGCGAAAGCGGCUCUCUGGCUUGUAACUGACACUGAGGCUCGAAAGCGUGGGGAGCAAACAGG
rnacentral:rRNA from 1 species